rnacentral:rRNA from 1 species
UACGGAGGGUGCAAGCGUUGUCCGGAAUCACUGGGCGUAAAGGGCGCGUAGGCGGCUCAUGAAGGCUGUGGUGAAAGUCCGGGGCUCAACCUCGGAUCGGCCGUGGCGACUCGUGGGCUGGAGCACUGUAGAGGCGGGUGGAAUUCCGGGUGUAGCGGUGGAAUGCGUAGAGAUCCGGAAGAACACCAGUGGCGAAGGCGGCCCGCUGGGCAGUGGCUGACGCUGAGGC